rnacentral:rRNA from 1 species
UACGUAGGUGGCAAGCGUUAUCCGGAAUUACUGGGCGUAAAGCGCACGCAGGCGGUCUUUUAAGUUUGACGUGAAAGCUCCCGGCUUAACUGGGAGAGGUCGUUGAAGACUGGAAGACUUGAGGCAAUGAGAGGGGUGUAGAAUUCCCGGUGUAGUGGUGGAAUGCGUAGAUAUCGGGGGGAAUACCAGUGGCGAAGGCGGGUCUCUGGACAGUUCCUGACGCUGAGGCACGAAGGCCAGGGGAGCAAACGGG